UACAGAGGGUGCGAGCGUUGUCCGGAAUCACUGGGCGUAAAGGGCGCGUAGGUGGUGGCUUAAGCGUGCGGUGAAAGCUCGGAGCUCAACUCCGAGUCGGCCGUGCGAACUGGGCUCACUGGAGCAUAGUAGAGGCAGGUGGAAUUCCGGGUGCAGCGGUGGAAUGCGUAGAGAUCCGGAAGAACACAGGUGGCGAAGGCGGCCUGCUGGGCUAUGGCUGACACUGAGGCGCGACAGCGUGGGGAGCAAACAGG
rnacentral:rRNA from 1 species